rnacentral:lncRNA from 1 species
GCACAGAGUUUCCAGGCCCCCAUGGCUGAAGAGGCUCCUGGGUCCAGUCUGGAGAUUGGCCGGUGGCCCUCGGCCCGCUUCCCACCACCCCCGGCUCGCGGCCCCUGCGAGAUGGGAUUCUGUGGAAGGACAAAGCCGCUCGCGAGCAUGUGGGAGCCGUCAGACGCCCUGGUUUAUUUCCACCCUGCACUUGCGAAGCGGUCCUGACCUCCCGGCCGACGGGUGUUAUCUCAGGACAGCCGGUGUGCUUACUGCGCGUCCUGUUGACCGAGAGCUUCGUUCACACCUGUGCCGCACACGUCCAGCACUUGUAGUGUGUGAGACAGAUGUGGGGGCCGGGGUAGGCACCGGGGGUGGCACUGGGGCUGGCCAGCUGGAGCCGGCCCUGGAGAGAAGGCCGGGCAUGGGGUCAGCAGAGCGGGCCUGGUCCAGUGGCCUAAGGGUUCCAAUCCUCACCCUGGCUUUGCCCUAGUUUGUGCAGGGAUGGUCAGGUCUGUUUCUACACUGGUGGAGGCUGUGAAGAGCUGAACUGGGGCUUCUAGGAUACAGCCAGGCACGUCCCUACUGGUUCUGUGG